AACGAACGCUGGCGGCAGGCUUAACACAUGCAAGUCGAACGCGUGUAGCAAUACACGAGUGGCGCACGGGUGAGUAACACGUGGAUAUCUGCCUUUUGGUUCGGGAUAACCCUGGGAAACUAGGGCUAAUACCGGAUGGUUCCUACGGGAUAAAGAUUUAUCGCCAAAAGAUGAGUCCGCGUCCGAUUAGCUAGUUGGUGAGGUAAUGGCUCACCAAGGCGACGAUCGGUAGCUGGUCUGAGAGGACGAUCAGCCACACUGGGACUGAGACACGGCCCAGACUCCUACGGGAGGCAGCAGUGGGGAAUAUUGGACAAUGGGGGCAACCCUGAUCCAGCCAUGCCGCGUGGGUGAUGAAGGCCUUCGGGUUGUAAAGCUCUUUUGGCGGGGACGAUGAUGACGGUACCCGCAGAAUAAGCCCCGGCUAACUUCGUGCCAGCCGCCGCCGUAACAC
rnacentral:rRNA from 1 species